AAUGCUAAUUUUAUCUGAAAAAUACAUGUACCUCAAUAAUUUUAUCAAGGGCAUGUUUUGUGCUAGAUACUACUCUUUAUGUUAGGAAUAUAAGCAAUUGUAUAAGAUACUUACAGAUUGCAGUAAGUGGUAAAAAAUAUAACAUGAAGAGGGAAUAGUGAUGAGAAGGUAACUAUAUAGGGGAGUGGUCAGGGAGUGCUUCACUGAAGAUGUAAAAUAUGAACUGAAACCUAUAUCCUGAUUUAAAAUAGCUUUGCAGAUGUUUUAGGUAAAUAGCAGCAAGCGAACAAUACCAAAGUAGAAUGACUCCUGCCUGCUACAUUUCCCCAGAUACCCAGGACCUUCAUGCUGUCACUCUCCAUGACCUGACCAACAUCUAUUUUGAGAAAUUAUUUUAUAUACUCAUUCAAACAGUCAUCUUUUGUGUCCAGAGUUGGUUCCUUCUGGUGGGUUCGUGGUCUCGCUAACUUCAAGAAUGGAGCCACGGACCUUCGCGAUUUACAUACAAAUGAACCACCAAUGUCCCCUUCUAUCAACUCAGAAUAAAAUCUGGUUUUAGCAUAUGCAGUCCUACGAGACAUGGUUAAAGGAUAUGAAUGAUAGAUAGAGAUAAAAGAAAUCAAGGACCAUUCCUCCACAAGUCUCCAAAGAGGAAAACAACAAUCGAAGAAAAAAGAGUGAGAGAACAGAUGGGCUGGCAGAGUUUUGCUUUCUAUGUGACAUUGUGUACUUAUUAUUCGCAUGAGGACUAAUUUAUAAACCCGGAUAGUGUUUAUAAACUAUACUGUCCUAAUGGAAAUGAAAGCAUUAAUACAACUAGAAGAUUC
rnacentral:lncRNA from 1 species